UCCUCCCUCUGGCGGCGUGCUUAACACAUGCAAGUCGAACGGAAAGGCCCUGCUGGUGUGGGGUGCUCGAGUGGCGAACGGGUGAGUAACACGUGAGUAACCUGCCCUUGACUUUGGGAUAACUUCAGGAAACUUGGGCUAAUACCGGAUAGCAGCUCCUGCUGCAUGGUGGGGGUGGGAAAGUUUCGGCGGUGGGGGAUGGACUCGCGGCUUAUCAGCUUGUUGGUGGGGUAGUGGCUUACCAAGGCUUUGACGGGUAGCCGGCCUGAGAGGGUGACCGGCCACAUUGGGACUGAGAUACGGCCCAGAGUCCUACGGGAGGCAGCAGUGGGGAAUAUUGCACAAUGGGCGGAAGCCUGAUGCAGCAACGCCGCGUGCGGGAUGACGGCCUUCGGGUUGUAAACCGCUUUCGCCUGUGACGAAGCGUGAGUGACGGUAAUGGGUAAAGAAGCACCGGCUAACUACGUG
rnacentral:rRNA from 1 species